GACGAACGCUGGCGGCGUGCUUAACACAUGCAAGUCGAACGGAAAGGCCCCUUUGGGGGUACUCGAGUGGCGAACGGGUGAGUAACACGUGAGUAACCUGCCCUUGACUUCGGGAUAACUUCAGGAAACUGGGGCUAAUACCGGAUAGGAAUCCUUGCUGCAUGGUGGGGGUUGGAAAGCUUCGGCGGUUUUGGAUGGACUCGCGGCUUAUCAGCUUGUUGGUGGGGUAGUGGCUUACCAAGGCUUUGACGGGUAGCCGGCCUGAGAGGGCGACCGGCCACAUUGGGACUGAGAUACGGCCCAGACUCCUACGGGAGGCAGCAGUGGGGAACAUUGCACAAUGGGCGGAAGCCUGAUGCAGCAACGCCGCGUGCGGGAUGACGGCCUUCGGGUUGUAAACCGCUUUCAGCAGGGGCGAAGCUUUUGUGACGGUACCUGCAGAAGAAGCACCGGCUAACUACGUG
rnacentral:rRNA from 1 species